UACAGAGGUGGCAAGCGUUGUUCGGAAUUACUGGGCGUAAAGGGCUCGUAGGUGGCCAACUAAGUCAGACGUGAAAUCCCUCGGCUUAACCGGGGAACUGCGUCUGAUACUGGAUGGCUUGAGAUUGGGAGAGGGAUGCGGAAUUCCAGGUGUAGCGGUGAAAUGCGUAGAUAUCAGGAGGAACACCGGUGGCGAAGGCGGGUCUCUGGGCCGAUACUGACGCUGAGGAGCGAAAGCGUGGGGAGCGAACAGG
rnacentral:rRNA from 1 species